rnacentral:rRNA from 1 species
UACGGAGGGUGCAAGCGUUGUUCGGAAUCACUGGGCGUAAAGCGCGUGUAGGCGGCUAUCUAAGUCUGAUGUGAAAGCCCUGGGCUCAACUCAGGAAGUGCAUUGGAUACUGGAUAGCUGGAGUACCGGAGAGGAGGGUGGAAUUCCUGGUGUAGCGGUGAAAUGCGUAGAUAUCGGGAGGAACACCAGUGGCGAAGGCGACUACCUGGCCUGUUCUUGACGCUGAGGCGCGAAAGCUAGGGGAGCAAACGGG